UACGUAGGGUGCGAGCGUUGUCCGGAAUUACUGGGCGUAAAGAGCUCGUAGGUGGUUUGUCGCGUUGUCCGUGAAAACUCACAGCUCAACUGUGGGCGUGCGGGCGAUACGGGCAGACUGGAGUACUGCAGGGGAGACUGGAAUUCCUGGUGUAGCGGUGGAAUGCGCAGAUAUCAGGAGGAACACCGGUGGCGAAGGCGGUGCUCUGGGCAUUACCUGACGCUGAGGAGCGAAAGUGUGGGGAGCGAACAGG
rnacentral:rRNA from 1 species